rnacentral:rRNA from 1 species
ACUCCUACGGGAGGCAGCAGUGGGGAAUCUUAGACAAUGGGGGCAACCCUGAUCUAGCCAUGCCGCGUGAGUGAUGAAGGCCUUAGGGUCGUAAAGCUCUUUCGCCAGGGAUGAUAAUGACAGUACCUGGUAAAGAAACCCCGGCUAACUCCGUGCCAGCAGCCGCGGUAAUACGGAGGGGUUAGCGUUGUUCGGAAUUACUGGGCGUAAAGCGCGCGUAGCGGAUCAGAAAGUUGGGGGUGAAAUCCCGGGGCUCAACCCCGGAACUGCCUCCAAAACUCCUGAUCUAGAGUUCGAGAGAGGUGAGUGGAAUUCCGAGUGUAGAGGUGAAAUUCGUAGAUAUUCGGAGGAACACCAGUGGCGAAGGCGGCUCACUGGCUCGAUACUGACGCUGAGGUGCGAAAGUGUGGGGAGCAAACAGGAUUAGAUACCCUGGUAGACUGUC